GCCCGAGGGGAGGGGGCUGAAACUUUUCCCCGCCCUUGUCUUGCUUUCUUUUCCGUCGGAGGAAGAGCGCUGUCCCAGGUGCUGACUGGCCUCUCUCUUGCUCUUCUUCCUUCUUCUUUGCGCUUCCUUCUGUCUCUCAGUUCUUGCCAAAGCAAGCAUCUCUUCCAAGGCGUGGGCUGGCCCUAUUUAUAGCCCAGAGGAGAGAGAGAGAGAGGCAGAGGCAAAGGAAGGAGGGCGCAGGAAGAAGCCACCCCGACUACCAUUCUCAACCUCUGCCAGACCCAAGAAGAAAGGAUUUUGAAGAAUACUAAAACCAUUCCAGCCUCAGUUAGUGGGAAAUUCUGAAUUCUGUGAUCACAGUAUGAACUGGCUUAAUUUCUCCUGGAACGCAUUCAACACCAUAGGACCAGAUGGAUGUCUGGACACUUUCACAGACUGACCCUAGUCAGCCGGUACAACUGUGUUAUAAUGAAAGCAAGUAACUUUAUUCUCAAAGUACUUUGAAAAUAUGUCACAACAGUUCCAGAUCUUUCCUCAGAGCAAUAAUGGGAACUGUGGCCUUCUAGAUGUUGCUGGAUGUGCAGUUGCUACGAUCCUUCAGCUGGCUGCAGUUCUCAAGAAUACAUGGGGAGCCACAUCUGUCUACCCUUUGCAUUAAUAAUCACCAGGUUAGCUAACUACAGAAGGCCCUGAACUUGCCAAAACUCAAGAAAAAAAGCUAUUUGUCUACCUCACAGCCACCAACUAGGUGAUGCCUAUCUCACAGCCAUCAACUAAGUUCAGCAAUGAUGUCAGACAAUUACUAAAUGGGAUUCACAGCAAGUCUUCUUCUAGUUGUGUUCCAGCUGCCUGCCUACUCACUUCAUCUUCAUUUGCCAAAAAAACCCAAAAAGUUUGCUAACUGGACUCUCCACAGUACAAAGGGACAAUUUGGAACUACCUCUUUCAUCUCCAUAUUCUACAGGGUGACAAACAUCCCACUUUGAAAUUCCCCAUGAAAUCUCUUGAAAAUCUAAAGAUUCCACAAGCCUCCAGAUAAUGGGCCAUUAUAACAGAUUCCCCCCCAAUCUCUGCAAAGUAUAACAAGUUUAGCUGCUAUCAGGCUAAACUUCAACAUGAUGUGAUCAGCCAACAACAUGAGAGCUGCUUACAUCCUACUCCUGUCCAAUUAUGAUACCUCAGUAUGUCCUAGGUUUAGCCAAUUACUGUCUCCUUGGGAAAACACUCACAGUUGUCUCAUAGCUAUGAAAAUAUGAGCUGUCCUGUUAAGGCAACUAUAUUGAGGUUUCACACCAAUAUAAGCCUAGCUUGCAAUGAAGCAACCAGAAAGUUCAAGUUCUAAUGUACUUGGAGUACCGCUAUCAAUUCCCAACAAGGCAUUACCAUUUGUCUGGCCAAACAUGUCAAGGAAAUGGAACAGGACUGGAGAACUGCAGGUGUAUUGGUGUUAACUUCUAAUUCCCACCAGCCUAACUACUGGACAGGCACGGCAGUACUAGUAUUUCAUCAACAUCUAGAAUUUCCAAGGUUCCUUGGAAUAAGACUUGACUCAUAGCAGCGCACAGGUAGUACAUCUCCUUCAUUCACCAUUUUGAGCCACCAUUUAAAAUAAGCAGAGGAAAUUAAGGCCAUUUGCCACUUUGAUCUUUUCAAAGAUCAGCCCUUGACAUGAAUGCAUGCGAUUUAGAUGCAUGAAUAGCGAGAAUAGAUGGAUGAAUCAAUGAACAGAACUUGGCUGUAUCCUGGCCUUCGAAGAAAAAGGGAUCCUGAAGGUUUUGGAAGAGAGGACUAAAGAAAAACAUACUUUGUGGCUAAAGAAGCACUGGUUAUCUCAAGCUUGGCACAAAUUAAAUAGAAGGAUGUGUCUGACAAUUGCACCGAGAAGACCAAGAUAGGGCAGGGAAGCUAGAGACUAGUGAAUUUAUCAAUAAGAAAGGUACAAGCACAUCAAGAUACAACAUAUGCUCAUGAACUAUUUUUGGUUAAUCAAAUGUAAAGUCACUAGACAUCCAGCUUUGCCAUAGAUAUAGCUGCAUCCUUGGGGCAAAGUCAUUUCCAUGCUCUCCCAUCAGUUCUGCAGUAGCAAGAAAGCAUGCCUUGCCUAGGGAAGAGCCCCAUAAAAGAAUGUCACACUGAGUUAGACCAAUAGACCAGCAGCUAGCUUCAUAUGAUCAAAUCAAGCUCAACCAAUAAUGGCCCUUGAGGGUCUUGGGCAGAGGCUCUUCCAGACAGGCGAGUCUUGUUUCUUUUUUAAAUGUUAAGAACUGAAUCAGAAGCCUCAGAUGAGCAAGCAUGACUCUGUCCCCACAAAGUUCUGCCCACACUUACAAAGAACUGUUAGGGCGCUCAUCCGGAAAGCUGUAAGGAAGGGAGGAAUCUGUCUGCUCCUGUAUACUGCCACUCCCUGUUACCAUCUGCCAGCUGCCGAAGUCGGUAGAGAUGGAAGAUCCAGGAAGAGAGUGCUCAGCCGAUCUGGGGCAAGGAGAGAGGAGAUGGUGCAAGUCAGUGGCUUCAUUCAGCAACUUCUGGCCCUUCUGCUACAGCCCCCAUUGGCCCCUGGCCCCGCAGAAUUGCAAGGAUGUAAAAGCUGUGGCAGGUUGUAGAGCCCACGUCAAUUCCUUCUAUGGUGAAAAGAUGAUGAGCUUGAUGUAAAGAGAAGGGACCCGAAUCCGCAAGCCAGGCUAAACUGGGCCAAAUCAAAAGUCCGUCAUGCAGAAGCUGUGAGAGCUAAGAGCAAUCCUGUCAUAAGAACCCAGGAAAACUGAUGCCAUUCCCAAACAGGAGCCCUGACGCCACGUCAUGCAAGCUAGUAAGCUGAUCCAACACAAAUGUGCAGAGCAGCAUGGAAACAAACAAGAGGCUGGUGUAGCUGGUGUUUCUGGGAGGAUGUUCAGGAUCUUCUUUUUCCUGCCCUUCCCAGUGAGAUAAGAGCAGUGUCCUGAAAAAAUGGCCCUAAUGUUGUCCACCCAGAAGAUGGAGGUGGUACCCUCAUGAGAUACAGGGCUUUACGCAGGAAGGAAACUUGUGAAAUUAGCCAUUUAAUGCAAAAAGUGACCCCGGAAGAGCAGAACAAAGAGAAAAUGCCAUCUCAAGGAGAAUUAAUCUUAUUCUCAUCUUCCUCAUUCAUUUCUCUCUUUUUGUCUGCGAAUACAUAGCUGGUGGCUCAAGGGUGACACAUAUUGCUGAACAUUAAGCAGUGGUACAAGCUUGGUGAUUUGGAAGUAAUAAAGCUGCAAGGAGCAAAGCAGCAUCCGUUCUGCAGCAGCAAGCUUAUGAGAAAUGCAUUUUUUAGAAAAAAGAAAAGACCCUUCAGGCUACUGCUUUCAACUGGCACCCCAACAGAUGCUGACAUUUUGCAACAGCAACAGCCUUCCUUACCUAAAAGGUCAUUUGGAUGUGCAGAGAAAAAUCUGGAUUUUUUGUUUGAAAACUACCUUCAACUCUUGGCAAGCACCAUCUCCUCCCUCUCCACUCCCCAAAGCCAUCUGAGGUAAAUGGUUGCCAACUUUGAGAACAGGAAAAAGCAAGAAAAGAGGACCAACCAGUCAACAGAGCAAGUAGGCCACCGGUUCCUCCAAAGGCUUUAUAUCUCAAAACACAUCCCUUCCUUGUCUAUUUCAACAAAGGCUUUCCACAGUAGUUUGUAAUGCAGUGUGCAGAGCUCUCUGCUUCAGUCAUUAGCACAGAACACAAUGUAAGAACAGCUGAAAUACACAUCACAUCUAACAUCUUGCUUAGCACAAUGACCAAUUACACACCUCCAGUCAAGUGACAAUGGCAAAUCUGAUGCCUUGACAAAACCCACUGGUAGACCUAGUAAACAAUACUUCUUCCCUGUACUUGUUCACUGGCAGUAAGACCUGUUAGAUAGUACACCGAUUACUAGUUGUUGACAGCAUAUAUAUCAAUGAAUAGAAAACUACCACCCCAACUUUCUGCAUACCAGAUGCCAAAGAUGAAUUGACUGCUCUUCCUUUUCUCCUUUCUGCAGACAACUUUGGGGUGGUGGUGAAGAAUAGUGAAUUUGAAUUGUAGAAAGAAAUACAAGCACUAAUGUGAUAAAUUCUUCGCCAUUGCAAUCCACAGCUGUCCUACUGGAAUCCAGCUGCCUAUAAACUGCUUCUUUAAGUAUAACAUAUUGAUGCAAAGUUGGAGGGAAGAAAAGAAAUACCCAGAAGCCCACUUAGCUCCACUCUGAAGGUCUUUGUAGCAACUGCAUCAAUUCUCUUGUCACAAGAAAGCCAACAAGAUAGGAUGAUAAGGAUGUAGAAACAAGGAGUAAAUAUGAGUGAAUCAGAUGCACAAAUAAAACAGAGUGAGUGAGAUGGGCAACAGAUAUAUUUGCUGAGGUCAGACAUUAGUGAUUCCCUGAAGCAACCAGCAUAGAUCCUUCCUGCAUCGCAGUCACAUCCACCAUUCUUUUGCAGAGGAUGUCUGAUGAGUAACAUGACAGGUCUGACCAAAAUCUCCAUGUCAAUGCAAGAAAGGACCUGAUAAAUGGCUGGCCAAAGAGAAGGCGACUAUUCUUGAAUAUGACUCACCAAUGGUGUUACAGAGAUAAAGGCAACAGGUGGGGUACAUGAGACAGAGCACCACAGUAGGGUUCAGGAAAAACUUUGCAAAAGGAGGAACUAUGCCCAAAGAAGUGAAUGCGAAAUACAGUCCCCAUGAUUCCCAGGGACCAAAGAUUUUCUACAAACAAUCCUAAUGGCAAAAAGAACAGAUGUGUACCAUAAGGGGAAAAGUGAUGCAUGAACUCAACGCUCAGAGACUUUAUCCUUCUUAAUGCAUAGAUCCAUGCUCUUCAGACAGUCUAAGGCCUGGACCUUCUUGGACAGACAAAAUUCAUACAGUCCAGUUGUCCGUAAAUUUGUCGAAUUGAGAACAGAACUCCGUAGAAUACCAGCUGCCCAGAAUGGAGGACAGGAAGGAGACCCAAUGGAAAUUUUUACUGGUUUCUUGGUCAGCAAAGCAGAAGUAUGCGAGAGAGGUCAAAGAGAGUGAGUGAGUGAGUGUGGUCUGCAUGUUCCCAAUAACACAAAGAUGUAUACAAAAUGAAUAAAGGCUCAGCCAAGGAGAUCCAGUAAUAACCAAGGGUUUAA